UACAGAGGGGGCAAGCGUUAUUCGGAAUUACUGGGCGUAAAGCGCACGUAGGCGGAUCUUUAAGUCAGAGGUGAAAUCCCAAGGCUCAACCUUGGAACUGCCUUUGAUACUGGGGAUCUCGAGUUCGGGAGAGGUGAGUGGAACUGCGAGUGUAGAGGUGAAAUUCGUAGAUAUUCGCAAGAACACCAGUGGCGAAGGCGGCUCACUGGCCCGAUACUGACGCUGAGGUGCGAAAGCGUGGGGAGCAAACAGG
rnacentral:rRNA from 1 species